GACGAACGCUGGCGGCGUGCUUAACACAUGCAAGUCGAGCGGUAAGGCCCUUUCGGGGGUACACGAGCGGCGAACGGGUGAGUAACACGUGGGUGACCUGCCCUCAGCUCUGGGAUAAGCCUGGGAAACUGGGUCUAAUACUGGAUAUGACUCCACGGUGCAUGUCGUGGGGUGGAAAGCCUUGUGCGGCUGAGGAUGGGCCCGCGGCCUAUCAGCUUGUUGGUGGGGGUGANGGCCUACCAAGGCGACGACGGGUAGCCGGCCUGAGAGGGCGACCGGCCACACUGGGACUGAGACACGGCCCAGACUCCUACGGGAGGCAGCAGUGGGGAAUCUUGCGCAAAUGGGCGAAAAGCCUGACGCAGCGACGCCGCGUGAGGGAUGACGGCCU
rnacentral:rRNA from 1 species